rnacentral:rRNA from 1 species
UACGUAGGGGGCUAGCGUUGUCCGGAAUCAUUGGGCGUAAAGCGCGUGUAGGCGGUCCGGUAAGUCCGCUGUGAAAGUCGGGGGCUCAACCCUCGGAUGCCGGUGGAUACUGUCGGGCUUGAGUACGGAAGAGGCGAGUGGAAUUCCUGGUGUAGCGGUGAAAUGCGCAGAUAUCAGGAGGAACACCAAUUGCGAAGGCAGCUCGCUGGGACGUUACUGACGCUGAGACGCGAAAGCUAGGGUAGCAAACGGG